rnacentral:rRNA from 1 species
CACUCCUGCGGGAGGCAGCAGUGGGGAAUAUUGGACAAUGGGCGCAAGCCUGAUCCAGCCAUGCCGCGUGAGUGAUGAAGGCCCUAGGGUUGUAAAGCUCUUUCACCGGUGAAGAUAAUGACGGUAACCGGAGAAGAAGCCCCGGCUAACUUCGUGCCAGCAGCCGCGGUAAUACGAAGGGGGCUAGCGUUGUUCGGAUUUACUGGGCGUAAAGCGCACGUAGGCGGACUAUUAAGUCAGGGGUGAAAUCCCGGGGCUCAACCCCGGAACUGCCUUUGAUACUGGUAGUCUUGAGUUCGAGAGAGGUGAGUGGAAUUCCGAGUGUAGAGGUGAAAUUCGUAGAUAUUCGGAGGAACACCAGUGGCGAAGGCGGCUCACUGGCUCGAUACUGACGCUGAGGUGCGAAAGCGUGGGGAGCAAACAGGAUUAGAAACCCCAGAGUCCCAUGAU